rnacentral:rRNA from 1 species
UAAGGAAUAUUGGUCAAUGGACGCAAGUCUGAACCAGCCAUGCCGCGUGGAGGAUGAAGGUCCUCUGGAUUGUAAACUUCUUUUAUCUGGGACGAAACACUUCUUUUCUAAGAGGCCUGACGGUACCAGAUGAAUAAGCACCGGCUAACUCCGUGCCAGCAGCCGCGGUAAUACGGAGGGUGCAAGCGUUAUCCGGAUUCACUGGGUUUAAAGGGUGCGUAGGUGGGUAUGUAAGUCAGUGGUGAAAUCCCCGAGCUUAACUUGGGAACUGCCAUUGAUACUAUAUAUCUUGAAUACCGUAGAGGUCAGCGGAAUAUGUCAUGUAGCGGUGAAAUGCUUAGAUAUGACAUGGAACACCAAUUGCGAAGGCAGCUUACUAUGCGGUGAUUGACACUGAGGCACGAAAGCGUGGGUAGCAAACA